rnacentral:rRNA from 1 species
UACGUAGGGUGCAAGCGUUGUCCGGAAUUAUUGGGCGUAAAGAGCGCGUAGGCGGCCCUGCAAGUCCGCUGUGAAAGUCAAAGGGCUCAACCCUUGGAUGCCGGUGGAUACUGCAGGGCUAGAGUCCGGAAGAGGCGAGUGGAAUCCUGGUGUAGCGGUGAAAUGCGCAGGAUAUCAGGAGGAACACCGAUGGCGAAGGCAGCUCGCUGGGACGGUACUGACGCUGAGGCGCGAAAGCGUGGGGAGCAAACAGG